rnacentral:tRNA from 1 species
GGUCUUGUGGCGGAAUGGCAGACGCGCCUGGCUCAAAAUCAGGUGUCCUUUGGACGUGUGGGUUCAACUCCCACCAAGACUA